rnacentral:rRNA from 1 species
GACGAACGCUGGCGGCGUGCUUAACACAUGCCAGUCGAACGGAAAGGCCCUGCUUUUGUGGGGUGCUCGAGUGGCGAACGGGUGAGUAACACGUGAGUAACCUGCCCUUGACUUUGGGAUAACUUCAGGAAACUGGGGCUAAUACCGGAUAGGAGCUCCUGCUGCAUGGUGGGGGUUGGAAAGUUUCGGCGGUUGGGGAUGGACUCGCGGCUUAUCAGCUUGUUGGUGGGGUAGUGGCUUACCAAGGCUUUGACGGGUAGCCGGCCUGAGAGGGUGACCGGCCACAUUGGGACUGAGAGACGGCCCAGACUCCUACGUGAGGCAGCAGUGGGGAAUAUUGCACAAUGGGCGGAAGCCUGAUGCAGCAACGCCGCGUGCGGAAUGACGGCCUUCGGGUUGUAAACCGCUUUCGCCUGUGACGAAGCGUGAGUGACGGUAAUGGGUAAAGAAGCACCGGCUAACUACGUG